rnacentral:rRNA from 1 species
GGAUGAACGCUGGCGGCGUGCCUAACACAUGCAAGUCGAGCGAUUUACUUUUAGUAAAGAGCGGCGGACGGGUGAGUAACGCGUGGGUAACCUGCCCUGUACACACGGAUAACAUACCGAAAGGUAUGCUAAUACGAGAUAACAUGAGAAAGUCGCAUGGCUUUCUUAUCAAAGCUUUUGCGGUACAGGAUGGACCCGCGUCUGAUUAGCUAGUUGGUAAGGUAACGGCUUACCAAGGCGACGAUCAGUAGCCGACCUGAGAGGGUGAUCGGCCACAUUGGAACUGAGACACGGUCCAAACUCCUACGGGAGGCAGCAGUGGGGAAUAUUGCACAAUGGGCGAAAGCCUGAUGCAGCAACGCCGCGUGAGCGAUGAAGGCCUUCGGGUCGUAAAGCUCUGUCCUCAAGGAAGAUAAUGACGGUACUUGAGGAGGAAGCCCCGGCUAACUACGCGCCAGCAGCCGCGGUAAUACGUAGGGGGCUAGCGUUAUCCGGAAUUACUGGGCGUAAAGGGUGCGUAGGCGGUCUUUCAAGUCAGGAGUGAAAGGCUACGGCUCAACCGUAGUAAGCUCUUGAAACUGUAAGACUUGAGUGCAGGAGAGGAGAGUAGAAUUCCUAGUGUAGCGGUGAAAUGCGUAGAUAUUAGGAGGAAUACCAGUUGCGAAGGCGGCUCUCUGGACUGUAACUGACGCUGAGGCACGAAAGCGUGGGGAGCAAACAGGAUUAGAUACCCUGGUAGUCCACGCCGUAAACGAUGAGUACUAGCUGUCGGAGGUUACCCCCUUCGGUGGCGCAGCUAACGCAUUAAGUACUCCGCCUGGGAAGUACGCUCGCAAGAGUGGAACUCAAAGGAAUUGACGGGGACCCGCACAAGUAGCGGAGCAUGUGGUUUAAUUCGAAGCAACGCGAAGAACCUUACCUAAGCUUGACAUCCUUUUGACCGAUGCCUAAUCGCACCUUUCCCUUCGGGGACAGAAGUGACAGGUGGUGCAUGGUUGUCGUCAGCUCGUGUCGUGAGAUGUUGGGUUAAGUCCCGCAACGAGCGCAACCCUUGCCUUUAGUUGCCAUCAUUAAGUUGGGCACUCUAGAGGGACUGCCAGGGAUAACCUGGAGGAAGGUGGGGAUGACGUCAAAUCAUCAUGCCCCUUAUGCUUAGGGCUACACACGUGCUACAAUGGGUGGUACAGAGGGCAGCCAAACCGUGAGGUGGAGCUAAUCCCUUAAAGCCAUUCUCAGUUCGGAUUGUAGGCUGAAACUCGCCUACAUGAAGCUGGAGUUACUAGUAAUCGCAGAUCAGAAUGCUGCGGUGAAUGCGUUCCCGGGUCUUGUACACACCGCCCGUCACACCACGGAAGUUGGGGGCGCCCGAAGCCGGAUAGCUAACCUUUUGGAAGCGUCCGUCGAAGGUG